rnacentral:RNase_P_RNA from 1 species
CGAGUCGGCCAGGCAGUCGCUGCGCCAGCCAGCAAUGGCUAUGGCGUGGAGGAAAGUCCGGGCUCCACAGGACAGGGCGCCAGGUAACCCCUGGGGGGCGUGAGCCCACGGAAAGUGCAACAGAGAGUAGACCGCCAGUCGCUUGUCGGCUGGUAAGGGUGAAAGGGUGCGGUAAGAGCGCACCGCGUAUCCUGGUAACAGGUGCGGCUAGGUAAACCCCGCCCGGAGCAAGGCCAAAUAGGGACCCAUUGGUGCUGUCCGUACCGGGUCCGGGUAGGCUGCUUGAGGAACGCGGUGACGCGUCUCCCAGAUGAAUGACUGCCCACGACAGAACCCGGCUUAUCGGCCGACUCGCAAU